CUUUAUUCACCAAUAGUAAUUUACACUGUAGUUAUAUUUUUAGCUUCCCAACCCUGGUACGUGUGAAUACAACUUUAGAAUAGAAUUUUAAUUUUUAAAGUUAGGUUCACACUACCGCAGGAAAUUUGAAUUUUGAUAUCUUUCUUAAGGGGGGAACACCAGUUGUAACUUUCGAAAAAUCAAUUUUUUUUUGUGCAUUUUCUUAAAGUAUACAUAUUUAGAAAUGUGUCUGUAAAUUUCAAAGUUGAUCCAGUGAAAAAUAAAUGAGAUAUACAGAACACUGCAUCGGCGCGUCCCGUGGCUUCAUACAAGGUGGCCAGCCAUAACUGACCCUAACGACAGAUGGCCUUUUCCUAUGAUUUAGAAACGGCAACCACUGCGGAAGAGUUAUUAUAUGGUCCAGGAAUCGAUGACUCUUUGUUACUUGGAAACAAAAUUUCUUCUGAACAAAAAAAAACGAAGUAUACUUGCAGAAUGCUGGUCACCGCAAUUCGCCUUUUUUCUUAAGACGCCACUUCAAUGGCUCAUAUCUCCAAAAGUUUUUGUUAAAAAAAUUUUUUUUUUCUUUUAAAUUACAGCUUUUUACAUGUACUUUUAACUAAUAAAUAGUAUUCUUUAAAAAGAUUCAUUGUUCUUUUGGAAAAUAUUCUUGAAAAAAGCAUUAUUUUUUGAGUUACAACUGGUGUUCCCCCCUUAAGGCGCACUGGGUGUUUUCGACGUUGACACUCUGAGCGCUCUGAGAGCUCGAAAAGGUUCUCAACCACAUUUUAUUAUUUUAGUGUAUUUAAAGGCGCUUGUAUACCUCACCGAUCCCGAGUAUACUUCUGUCGUGUACCAUUGGAGUAAAAGAGACAAAAAGAUAUUUCCGUCUCUUUUACUCCAAUGAUACACGACGCAAGUAUACUCGGGAUGGGUGAGGUAUACAAGCGCCUUAACCUAACCUAAUCCAAUGCAAUCUUCUCAUUACGCUUUCAAGACCGGUGAAGACCACGCUGUUGCAUCAUGGAGGAAAGAAUAAUUUUAAAUGAUUUAGUUUUAAAGAACAAUAAAACAUUAUUCAAGAAUAAUGGUCGUAUUUCAUGCGACGUAACGAACGUUGAUACGAGUAAGUAUUAAUUUUAAUGUAAUAUUUAUAUUUAUAUUUUUAUUUUAUUUAUUUUAUUUAUAUUUUAACAAGAUUUUGUACAAUUCCUAUAGCGUUAACGUAAUUGACUUCAGGGUUUAAAUUUGCCAUUUUUGAAAAUUUUCCGUUAUUUACUUCCGCACUCAGAAAACACGCUCGGUUUAUUAAACAAGAUUGAGAAACCAGAGCACGAGCACAGCCCGAACGCAUCCAAUUUCAAAUAAAGCAUGCAAAUAACACACCCUUUUUUGUGCACAUAAACCUAAAACUGCAGCCCGUAUCACAAACAUGUCACUUUUAGCAUGCUUUAGCCAAUCAUAAUAAGUUAUUGCUAAUCAUAAUUUUUAAUAUUGGUUGAGAACCACUUAACACUUUCAGAACACUCAGAGCGUCGACGUCGAAAACACCCACUCACACUUUUUUGGCUGCCUGCAGGUUACCAUGGCAACGCAUGAGAGCGAGUGAGACAGAAAAUUUAAAAAUUUGAAUAUUCAAAUUUUCUGUCUCACUCACACUUGUGCGUUGCCAUGGUGCAGGCAGACAGGCAGCCAAAAAGGUGUGAGUGCGCCAUAUUAUAAUUAUUAUUUCCAGAUGAAUUUAAAAAUAAAAAAAAACAUUGUUUUUAUGAAAAUAGAAAAUUUUUUAUUUUUUUUUUUU